AGGUUUACCAUGACCAUGAUGCCCUCUCUAUCUAGCGAUUGUGAUGCAGUUCACAUCUGACACUGCUGCAGUUCAGUAUUAACCGUGGGUCGGUUCAGUUUGUUGUUGUUUGUCACAAAUCAAUUAUUCGACAGGAGUAGUGUGGCGGUGCAUACUCGUCUAGAUCUUGGUGUUGUUGAGCUGAGAAUGCAGUAGGCGUUGCUGUAGCAGUGCGAGGCCUUUCCAGCGCGCCACCAUGAACUCCGGCUCUCCCGCAUAGCCACAGCCACCACGGGA